rnacentral:tRNA from 1 species
UCCCUUGUGGCUUACACAGUAAAGAAUCUGCUUGCAAUGCGGGAGACCCAGGUUCGAUCCUGGGAUGGGAA